rnacentral:rRNA from 1 species
UACGUAGGGUGCAAGCGUUAAUCGGAAUUACUGGGCGUAAAGGGUGCGCAGGCGGCUAUGCAAGACAGAUGUGAAAUCCCCGGGCUUAACCUGGGAACUGCAUUUGUGACUGCAUGGCUAGAGUUUGUCAGAGGAGGGUGGAAUUCCGCGUGUAGCAGUGAAAUGCGUAGAUAUGCGGAAGAACACCAAUGGCGAAGGCAGCCCUCUGGGACAUGACUGACGCUCAUGCACGAAAGCGUGGGGAGCAAACAGGAUUAGAUACCCUGGUAGUCCACGCCCUAAACGAUGUCAGCUGAUUGUUCGGGAAGCAAUUCCUGGGUAACCAAGCCAACGCGUGAAGCUGACCGCCUGGGAAGUACGGUCGCAAGAUUAAA